rnacentral:rRNA from 1 species
GCGGCCUAUCAGCUUGUUGGUGAGGUAAUGGCUCACCAAGGCUACGACGGGUAUCCGGCCUGAGAGGGCGACCGGACACACUGGGACUGAGACACGGCCCAGACUCCUACGGGAGGCAGCAGUGGGGAAUAUUGGGCAAUGGACGCAAGUCUGACCCAGCGACGCCGCGUGAGGGAUGAAGGCCUUCGGGUUGUAAACCUCUUUCAGUAGGGAAGAAGCGAAAGUGACGGUACCUACAAAAGAAGCACCGGCUAACUAUGUGCCAGCAGCCACGGUAAUACAUAGGGUGCAAGCGUUGUCCGGAUUUAUUGGGCGUAAAGAACUCGUAGGUGGUUUGUUACGUCGGAUGUGAAACUCUGGGGCUCAACCCCAGACCUGCAUCCGAUACGGGCAGACUAGAGUGUGGUAGGGGAGACUGGAAUUCCU